GAUCUAGUAGGUGCAACCUGCAUAGUUGUUGGUAUGGCAUCUAUCUUUGGCGUGCGUUCUCGAGUUCUUCUUUCCUUGUACAAUUCCCAAUAGAGAGAAGGAUGCUUGAACCAACACGAUCGACACUUUGCCUCGUAUUUUAUCGGGAACUGGACCGAGUACCGCAAGGGCCGAACGGCGGGCAACAAGGGGACCGGCCACUGUCCGGCCCGACAGAAGAACAGAGGAGAGCGGCCCAUUGAGUGUUUUGGGUCCGAACCAGCCCAGAGGAGAGGAAGGCUGAGUGGGCUGGAUCGAUCAACAUUCUCUUCAUGGGCCUAGCAAGUCUAACGUUCUCGGCCUGGGCCUAGCUCUUUUUUUUUGGGAAUUUCACAAAACAAAAUGAAAUGGAAAACAAAUGUCAAUCUGAAUCAUCGACACACUAGUAGCUCAUGAUGUGGCUGCCAGAGUGUAAUCCCCACAUGAAAAAUCGCCAGCUCCUGGCUGUGUAUGCUUUUGUUCGUUACUUUGUAACUGAGGGGAAAAAACCAACUCAAGAGAAAUGUACAAGUGGAUGCAUUAAUUCACCGUUGGUUUCAUAUAUUACACAAAUCACCAAAGUCAUCCCAGCAGCUCUCCUAAGUAACCAGACCUGCGUUUAACCAACAAAGUAUCGUCCAUCUUCGUGCCCUCUCACCGC